AUUUUUUCCUGUUUCUGAAUAUCAGCAUGCCUUCAAGGGGGAAUAUCACCACUCUUUCCAAAUUAGUUUAUGUAUUUACCCAUGCUCCAAAAAACGUGUGGAAUAUUAGCUGUGACCAGGUGGACAGAAUUGCACUAGCCGCUUCAAAUUUUGGGUUACUAAACUGGAGACGCCAUAUAAUUGGCACAAAACAACAAGCAAAUACUGUGCCAGAUGGCACCAAGAACAGAAAAUGACGGUACGAUGACCAGUUUAAAGGAGAAGAGUUCUUCAUAGGCAGGUUCAGGAGUCACGUAGGAGCCUUCUCCAAACUGAGUUCGGGUCCAAAACACAGAUAACCUCUUGUAGGGAUCGUUGGGUUUUUAUAGAACCCCUACUGAAAGGAUAUGCCAGUUCUGGGUACCGUGGUCGGGUCAGUUGCCUACUUCUGGUGUCUUCUCGGAGUUGCAGGUUGAAAGGGAGAAAACAGAAGCGUGACCAUCUCCCUCUUGUCCCAUUGUGAUACCGCGUACCUAAGCAGAACCAGGAAGGUGAUCCCCAGAUGCACACGCACAAGCAUACCUUCCAAACUCCCUGUUCUGUCUGAAUUAGUUUCUGUAUAUCAGCUUUUGGAUGUCUGAGGAGAAAGUGUUCCCCUUCCCCGCUCUCCAAAAAAUGUACACCUUCAGACCUCCAAACAGAACAACUCUCUGAAAUAGAGGUCCAAAAGCACCUUGACAUACAGAAACUGAGUGGACCCCCAGCUUUUUUCAGGUUUGGAAACUGUAAUAUCGUCAUGAGCGUGAGGAUGCUUUUCUGAUUUCUGUCGUGACGUUUCAAUCUUUGAAUAACUGAUCGAGAAGGAAGCGAAAUGUGAGCAGCGGAGAUCUGCCGAUAAACCGAAAGGAGCAGUUGGAUAGAAGCAAAAGAUCGAAACUUUACAGAUCACAGAUUGUUCUCAUCAUAAAAAUAAAUUUCAAGUUAUAAACGAUUGCUUAGAGAAAACCAGAAAUUAUACCUAAGAGUGAACUACCCCGGUAGAUAAAUGGAAGACCACAAAAUGACAAGAUCAGGAGAUGAGAAAGAGAGAAAGACAGCAAGACACGGUACGCAAGUAAAAGUGGAAAAAUACAAAGUCCAUAAUCCCAAAUUCGUUUAUUUUCCACCGCUUAUCCAAAACCGGGUGACGAGGGCAACAGUCUUAGCAGCGAGGCCCACACGUCCCUUUCCCCAGCCACACUUGCUAACUCGUAUUGUGGGAUCCCAAGGUGUUACCAGGCCCUCUGGGAGACAUAAUCCUCCCGGCGAGCCCUGGGUCUUCCCCAGGGUCUCCUCCAAUCUGGUCCUGCCUGCAAAACCUCCCCAGGGAGGCAUCCAGGAGGCUUCUGUAUCAUUACCAAAUUAUCUUUUAAAAUACCUAGAAUACACUAAGAUUUUUUUAAUUUUAAAAUCCGGAAUUUCGGACAUGGAGGAGAGGAUGCUGCCAUGUUUAAUACUGUCAGUAUGGCGAUAUCACUUAUUGCACUAGAUGACAGCAACCGAGGAGCAACCAGUAUGGCAGCACCCAAAAAGAUGACCACUAAAAUGGCAGCAAAAUUGUAAACAUUAACAUUAAAAAUGAAUAACAAAACCCUAAAAUAUAGACCCAGACGAGAUCUACGGAAAAUAACAGAAUGAAAAGUUUUUUUGUUUUCGAGAGUGAGUUUCUCGUGGAGGUUCUUCUUUGCUGUUAGCAAAGUUUGGACUUCAUCUUACAAAUAGGCUCAAUCUUAAAUACGAUAGCCACCAGGACGUGAUACACACGUGACGUUAAGCGUGGUUCACAUAGUUAUCGUAGCCAAGAUGCAAAUGUGCAAGUCCAGCAGAUGUAGAAAUCAGCAUGAAAUGACUGGGAGAUGAUGCCAGUACUGAAAGAGCUAAUCCGAGAGUAAAAGUCAAGAGUCAAAAAUGAUGGGAAACCAAGUGUUAAAAUUUGAAGCGAAAUAAGGAAAAGAUCCUGAUGAUAACCAAAUUUCUUCUCCCAUUCUAAUAAACCGUUAAUCAUUAUUAAGCAAAUCCAAUGCCUGAACGGCGAGUAAUGCACGCUGCCAUAUUAUAUAAUGUUGACAAGAUAACGUCACACUUCACCACAUCGGUAAAUUGCGCUGACACAGUGGCGGCCAGGUAGACAAGUUUGAAAGGGAAAACCAACCAGAAAUGCUGCUGCAACAUCUUUAUUAACAUGACCAUAAGAAUGACGAUGUAAAAACCCUAAACCAGCGCGCCCCAAACGUAUUCCCGACAUUAGCGUUGUAGUUGCAAUGGCCACGAUGUCUCCAACGUAGAACGGAGAAAACAAAUCAAGACAAAACGGUUGGCCAGAAUAAGGAUGCCAUUUCUGAAUUUCGUAUACCUGGAUGUAACAGAGUUAAGGAGUUGGUCUAUUGCAAAAGCCACGCAGGGAACGUUACAAACUUAUCUUCGAGAAUAUCAAUAGAGGACGCCUGGGCUCCUGCCGCGUUGCUUUAGCUCCAUGAAAUUGGAUUCAUAUUAGUGAGAAGAACACAGAGACAUGUCGCCAGAUUACCGAAUUGGUCGCAGUAACUUGAGUUCUGACUGAUAGAGGGGCUCACUCUUAAUAGAAAAACUCGAUACUUGACGCCUUCAUAAAAAGGAGUUCUGAACUCUGACUCGACUUAGAACCUCCCGAUAUUUCAAAUGGAAUAAACUGAGGACGUUUGACAGGACACUCGAAGAUGUCAAGGAAGUGUCGGGGUACCAGGCUGGUCACCCUUUUUAAUCAAAAUGAAUGCUUGAUGGUGUUACAGGUAAUUUAAAACUAAAGAAAAGGAGUCUUCGUGAUGUUCCUUUAAUGGUAUUUGGCGCGAUAGAGCAGGUGGUCCUCGGGAGAUCUGUGCUAUUUACAGUUUGGGUCUGAUAUGAGACGCCAUGAUGGUGUCCGCUCUUUUAUAGUCCUCUGGCCAGCAGCAGUGGAGUCCAGUUGUCCUCAAUGGGCGUCUUCUCACUGCCUUGGGUGACAAAAGAGACAACAAUGUUAGCAACCCACGCCCCCUUUCACCCUCAGGUGGUAUCUCUUACCUCCAAUAAACUUAGAAGGUGAUCCUCCGACGUGUCUGUGUGACAGAACUUUGUGUAAAAUAUCAACACUCAUCACCACAACCCACUCAUGUUAAAGGUACUGUAGGCCACUUGCUCUUUACAGUUUUUCAUGAUGUUCACAAGGAACAUGUGACUUGGCAAAAUUAGUUCAUUUUUAAAGUUGCUCAUCAUGGGUUGAACAGUCGAAGUGCUAAAUCUCGAUGAAUUUAAGUUCUUUGUUUAUUUUCUGGGCUGCAUCUUCUAUGUGUUGCAUGAAAGUACAAUCAAAUUUUUAAGUUUUCACAUUUGUGCCUUCUUACAUGGGCAGUGGUGCUGCAGUAGGUGUCUGAAGCGUACGAGCAAUGGUUGAGGGACCAAACAGGUCUCAGACUAGAUGACAGUUUCUCCAGCAUACAAGGUCUCUAAGAUGUCCUCUUCUGUCAUUUCUGGAGUGUAUUUCACUUAGAGCCAAGCUGUUGGAAUGGGAUGCGCUUAAAUGUGGGUGGGGUUCAAAGUUUAACUCCACCCAUAAAUGUGUAGAUGUCAGAGUUUUUGUCCCGACCACACAUUCAAGCACAUCAGAGGUCAGGUACUCACCGACAAUGGCAUUAACUCAAUGGAGUCUUGCUGCAGAUUUCCACAACUAUGGUCCAUCUGAUGAUGUUUAGUGGCCUUUGUUUCAAAUGUCAGUAAUGUUACAUGGGUGGAGUUGGUUUAGCUCCGCCCAAAAUUUGCAGAUGCCACAUGUUUUGUUCUACUUACACAUUCAAGCAGGAAUUGCACAUCAGAGGUCAGCUACUCGCCGACAAUGGCAUAAACUCAAUAGAAUCUUACUGCAGACCUCCAGAGCUCCGCUCCAUUGCGUAGCCAAUCAUUGUUCACAUCUGGUGACAUUUAGUGGCCUUACCCAACACUCGAUUUAUUUAUUUAUUUAUUUCUCAGUAUGUUCAUUUCAAGGUGUACCUUGCACUUCAUUCUCAUAAAACAUCCUUAUACUAUGGGAAGGAUUAGGAUUGUGGGAAAAUGGCUAUCAGGGAUCUCGUAGUGUGCAUGUCGUGGGACUGCCUGUUGGGUAGCAGCACUGUCAAGGAGACUCUCAUUGGAGUGUCCCCUAUGUAAACCAUGUGAUGUAAACAUGCAAUCUGAUUGGCUAUUCAACAGCUAGGCCCUUCUCCAUAAACUAUCCAUCCAUCCAUCUAUUAUCCAACCCGCUUUAUCCUAAGUACAGGGUCACAGGGGUCUGCUGGAGCCAACCAUAAACUAUCUUCCUAUGCAAUAAAUACUUUGACUUCAGCCUACACCAAUCCAAAUGGGCUUUGGCUUCAAAUGUUCUAAUUAAAAAAUAUAUACACAUAUUAUAUAUAUAUAUAUAUAUAUAUAUAUAUAAACAUACAUAUAAACAGUAUAUUUUUUACUGAGGUAUAUUGUGUAUAUAUGCAUGUGUGCAUAUAUAUGUAUAAAUUCUAUUGUCACACAUGCGUGUCGGAGGACUUCCUCAUAUGCUCAGUUGAGGUACAGGAUGUAAUAACCCACCAUGGCGAAAGGGGCACUUCCCCUAAUGCUGUCAUCUCUUUCUUUCCCCACAGUGCCAUGAAGAUGCCUAGUGAAGGCAUUUAGCCCCGCCCCUUUUGGUCCCACCACCAUAAAUUCCUAGGCUAUCCUGGAUGGAGGCAUCACGUUUAGCCAAAGAAACCCGUGGGACAGAGUCCCACUAAGGAUAGUGAAAGCUCCAUUCUUUCUUUGUUUUGAAUUACCUUUAAUGGGACGCGUGCCAACAAACGCGAUUUCAGUUGUUUUCCUUUAAUUUUCUUGUCUUCGGAAAAGUAAAAGGGACGACCUGGUUGGGCCUUAAAAUUUCUUGCCAUAGUCCUGAGCUGUCAUUCCUGCACCUGAGUGUGGUGUUGAGGUGUCACCUGUUGCACAGAUGCACUCAGAUCUCAAUCUGUGUGGUGGGUGGAGCAGCAUGCUGUUAUCAGCACAUAUUAUAUUAUAUUAUAUAUAUAUAUAUUACAUACACAUACAAAUAAUAUAAGAGAGAGAGAGAGAAACAAAGUUUAAUCAAAAUGCCUUCACAAAGGAGCGGAUUACCAUAAACCCCUGGCUUCUUGAGAGAGGCAAGACAAAAGAAUUUUUGGUAAAAAGUAAGAAAAAUAACGGAAUUUUAAACAAAAUGCUGCAAAGAGCAAACAGGAGGCAAAAGGAUAUUCCAACCAGGCAAUCUAAAAGCAAAGUCCCAAUACAAAUUUGUUAAACAAAAUCCUCAAUCAAAGGCCAAAAAAGAGCUGACGAGAGCAGUGAAUUCAGAAGAAACAACGCAGUACUCACAGAAACACCACGCUCUCCACCAACAUGCAUUUGAUGAACUGGGGGGUGGGGGUUUAGUAACUCAGCAGUGAUGGAUAGUGGUGUUUGUGUGGGGGGGGGGGGGGUUCUGCCUCCUAUACUCUGGUCAACUAAAUAUUCUUAAACAUGACAAAAACAAGAAUACAUUGACCCAGCGUUCCUUAAAUUUUUUUUUCUUGUGGCCCAGUCUUACCCCUCUUUGUUUUUUCGAGACCCGUGAUGAACAUCAGAUCUUGCGGGAGGGUCUCCCUUGGAGAAUCGCCCUUGACAGUCAUAGCACAGUGGGGUCCCUUUGGAGAAACAUUGCUGACAUUCAUAGCUGGGGACGGAGGUUGGUGGACCCCCCCCCCCUUGGAGAACUGCCACCGACAGGCAUUACAGAGCACUGCCUGUGGUGACCCAUCGUGUGACACUUCACAAACCUUACGUAACCUUUUCCCAUUAAUUACAACCGCAAGGUACAGCCCAAUAGGCGGCAACCUGUGACCCAUUUUGGGUCGUGACCCAUAAGUUUAAGAAACUAGGCAUUAAAUAUAUUAAUUAAAUAACAGAUAUAAUAAACAAUCUAAACGUAAAAAUAAGUGAAAAAGCCAAGGAAUGUAAACAUGGGCCACAGAGGAAACCCUGAGUGAAACAUAACAAGUGGCAGACUAUUUCUAGGUGAGAAAAGCAGCUUAUGCCACUGCCUGCCUGUGUGAUUUCUGCUGUGCCGACUGAGUGAGCAGGACCCGCGUCUACUAUUAUGGGUGGAGUCAGGCGUUUAACUCCGCCCACGUGAUGGAUGCUGUUAAAUGUUGAACUAAUGGAGGUACACCUGCAGCGAGGCGCUUCCCUUUAGAACCCUUUUUAGAAACAGCAGAAGUCAAAACGAUCUCCAUGAACAAAACUGUCCAGUCUUCACGUUUUUGGCCUCUGCUGUUUCGAGACGUUUACUGGAAGCUGUGGCGCUUUAUCGUUACGUCAAUUUAGUGAGCACCACGACCAGAUGGCUUUGUCCUGCGGUUUCUUAUUUAUUUGUAUUGACUUCUGUCUUCUUCACAACGCUUGUCCCAAUGUAACACAAGCACAUGGGUUGGGGAGCGAGCUUCAGAAUUAGGGGCAUUACUCGUUGGUGGGGGGGGGGGGGGAGGGGCGGGGUCUCCAUUUUUAUGUUCGUUGCACAGGUUAUUUCAUUUUAGUUUCCUCACAUUGCAGCUGGAUGUAAAAUAGCAUGUUUUUGUGUAUUGGGCAGAUUUGCCAAAAUGCACCAGAGGGGAGCGGCGAUGCCCCUCCUGCUGUGCAGUUGCAUGUGUGCCGUGGCCGCCUCUGUCAUUUGUGUGCAUCAGCAUGCCAAGCAUAUCAGCGUCCUCAAGAGAGGACCUCAGCAGGUGACCGAUGACCAUUUGUGCAAAACAACCUGCACUUGGCAUGUUGUUCCACUGGUGUAAUGACAUGUCUGUGUUUCACAACGUGAAUAAAAAUGUUGUCCGUCUGUACUGCAUAUGCAGAAUGUACGUAUGUGUGUGUGUGUGCGUGUGUGUGUGUGGCGUCCCAUUGAAACUGGAUUGUUCUGUUUUGUCUGUUGUACACCCUGACCUUUUCAUUUUGCAAUAAAGCUGCUUCUCAGA